rnacentral:rRNA from 1 species
UGCCAGCAGCCGCGGUAAUACGGAGGGUGCAAGCGUUAAUCGGAAUUACUGGGCGUAAAGCGCGCGUAGGUGGUUUGUUAAGUGGGAUGUGAAAGCCCCGGGCUCAACCUGGGAAUUGCACCCCAAACUGGCAAACUAGAGUACAAGAGAGGCGAGUGGAAUUUCCUGUGUAGCGGUGAAAUGCGUAGAUAUAGGAAGGAACAUCAGUGGCGAAGGCGACUCACUGGAUUGAUAUUGACGCUAAGGUGCGAAAGCGUGGGGAGCAAACAGGAUUAGAUA